UCCACCUAAAGCAAUGACAAAGUGGCAGUUGUGAUAGAAAGGAAAGGGCAAGGCGUGCCCUGCAGCACAGUCUGGAUCGGGCGGCGGGUACGGAUAUGCGCCGAAUACCGGAGAGAAUAUGAGGAUCUGAUUCCAUUCAAACCGGCAGAACCGGGCAGGUUACUGCAACGAAAGAAAGCUGCAAUUUCCUAUUUACCGUACAUCUCUUAAGCCUGAUGAUCAAGCACAGAACAAAAUACAGAAAUGUCAUUGAAGAUUCUCCGGAUCUCCAUGUGAGGUAUCCUGAUUAUUAUUAAAGAAAUGAUAUUGAGUCCACGAGUUUCGUAUAAUUCAUUUUGUAAAAGUAAUCAAAUAUGAUAUUCAUAUAAAAAAUAUUAAAUUUUUAAUAAUAAAUUUAACUUUUUUUUAAAA